AACAAACAAAAAUUGUCGAAUCUCAUUUAUAUGCAUGUAAAACCAAAGAGAGCACAAAUUACAUUUAAAACUAAUUAAAAGCGAAAUGAAAUUCCGUUUAUUUUGGAUUUCUUUUAAUUAGCGAUGCGCUCAUUUUUCGCGUAGUAAUGCUGGUGUUUUUUCCGUUCGUUUUGUUGCACCUUCUCCUCCAGCUUCUUGAGACAAUCAUUGAUUUUUUUCAGUGUUUCGGUGUUGUUAUCUCCGGACUCGUUCACUUGGGUCCAUAUGCCAUGAAGGGAAUUUCUCGUGUUAUGAUAAGAGAAGUCUGAUUUACCCCCUGUCAGUUCUCGCGUCUGCUUUUCACACAUUUGGAGGAUUUUUCCAAUUUUCUCGCCCAUUUUCCAAACACAGCCAACUUCCAACACUCAAAUAAUCGUUCCAUCGAUAAAACGUGAUAAGAUAUUUUUACUUCUCCCAAUUGACAACUUCAUACUCUUCAUAAUGUAAACAAAAAGUCUUAAAUUAGCCCAACAAAGCCGUGUAGGCGGCGUUUCAGUUGUCAGAGCUAAUUUUAAAACCCGACCAAAGUCAGUAAACAGAAAGAAUCGUCAAUUUUUGAUAACUUUCACCAGAGUUCAAGUACAAAGUCGACAAUGACAUAACCUUUGCUCAAAGAUUCAACAUGUGGUGACUGUGAUGGGUUGUCGAAACUCGAAACCUGACUCCGAUGUUGUGAUCAUUUUUCAUGAAGCGAACAAAGUUGUGAUUAAGGACAGGCGGAAAAAGGGGAGAAAACACUCCAUCGUGCUUUUUCUUCCGGUUAUUGUCGUCACUGAUGAGUACAACACACAGAGGGUUAUUUACACGCCCGAAGAACAGGAACAGGACAUGAAAAAAUACAUUUUUGAGACUAGGAGAUUCUAAGGCUUGAUAUUCGUUAUUGUAACUCGUAAUUGUGAUGAACGCUAGUGUUUAUUAUUUAAAAAUUCUAGGUUUAUGUGUAAAUAAAUAAGUAAGUAAAUAAUCAGAAUAUUCAAUAGACUACGGAGGACUAUGAGUUAGGAGACGAAACGCGGGAUUUUCUGAGCCCAAAAAAAUAAAGUAGAGCCAAAUCGUUUUAAAUUAAUUCAAAUUCAAAAAAUUUAUUAAUUACUUGGAAAAAAUGCAGAAAUGUUGAGCUUUGCACUCUUAACACACUGAUGACUGAGAAAUUAAAAAAAUAUAUAUUUAAAAUUUGCGCUUCGUCUCGUAUUUUUCAAGACGCAGCGAAUACGAUUAAAGAUACAAAAAAAAGUUUAGAAGAAAGUUGUAGAGUAUUAAAUUUCCUUUAAAAAAGUCAGCAAAACUAUAUCUUUAUCUUCAAUGGUUUAGGCCCUAAGGACAUUCAAAUACGCUCAAGCGUCGGAUUCGUUUCAUUUUAUUGACGGUCAAGUAACGCAAAGUUAAUUUAUACCUAAACCGUUGAAGAUAGAAAUAUGGUCUCGCGGACUUUUUUGUAGGAAAUUUAAUUCUCUACAACUUUUUUCUUAACAUUUUUCUUGUAUCUGUAACCGUAUUUGCAGCGUUUUGAAAAAUAUAGGCGAGUGUAAAUCGGAGAAAGAUUGAAAUUUUUUAAAUAGUUUAUUAACAUUUUUGCAAUAUGUUUAUGACUUACUAUUGAGAAUUUAGUGCUUUAACUGUCUGUAUUUUUUUGUUUGCCUUGUGCUUACAGUUAUACCAACACAACAUUUUUUUUCAAUUUAUUGCUCUAAAAAUUUAGACGGUAAUGAACAUCUGCGCUCUUUGGUAAUCCAAAGACAUGAAUAUUUCAUUUGUAUCCUAAGUUUUAGAUAUCAGUAGUUUAGUUAAAGCAAAUCCGUAAAAAAUUUCGAGGAAAUUGGGGUGAAGCUAACUCAUGUUUAAUAUCGGAAUCAAUCUUGGUCCCAGAAACAACAAUAACGUCCGAAGGAGGUCAAGAGUUGUUUUUCUUUACAGUUGACAAUGACAUAUACCUGCCUGACAUUGCCAUAGAAGCCCUCCUCUCGGGAAAUCAUGACUAAUGGAAAGUGCAAACGUCCGUUUCUUAUUUAUAAUCGCUUCCCGCACUGAUUUCAGCUCCGGAAACUUUCAAACCUCAUUCCGAUCGCCUUUUAUCCACUUCAAUCUGAAUAAAAGUAAAACGCCAGCUUUGGUGGUGCGAAUUUAUUUGUGUAAGCAGCAAACAACUCGACGAGCAAAUUUCAUUAAACUAACACAAAUAUCGUUUGAGCUGAGCGGGGAAAAAACUCGCCUGGGACGCGACAGAAAUUUUCAAGAAAUUGGCACGGAAAAUAAUUAUUGGCGAGUUAAAGAAAAAACGUUUUUCAAGCCACCCUUCUCCAAAUCUAUAUAAACGGACGUAAAGUAAAUCCGGCUGGGAGCCCAACUGUUCUUUUCCUCCCCGAGAGACUCAAGAAAUGCGAUAGGACUGAAAGAAUUGUUCGAUCUGUUGUAAAUGUUUAAAUAGCUCAUUGUGGUUUGAAUGAAUCAAAACCGAUUAAAAUUUAACCCAAUCUAAAA